CCCAGUGGAAGAGUCACCUCAGAAGGUCUGUCCUUAAUGUUAUAAAUUCACAGGCUCCUCCCCUAGGGUUGCCAGAUUUAGCAAAUAAACAUACUGGAUGCCCAGCUGAACUUGAAUUUCAGAUGAACAAAGUAAUAUGGCACGUGACAAAUUUACACAAAAAAGGAUUUUUUGUUUAUUUUAAAUUCAAAUGUAAAUGGUUUAAAUAUAAUCUGGUAACCCUACACAUGGAGGGAUCUGGAGGGGAACCAAGGUGCUCCAGUCAACCAGCGCAGCUGAGCCCCUAGCAGAAGCCAGAACCCAUGCUCAUCCCUGGGAGUGAGCUCUCUCAGAUGCACCAGCCUAACGGAGCCUCCAGCUGAUGGCAGCCCCAGACGAGGCUCCACGGCCGUCGUGCUUGUGAAGGGAAGGAGAGGUACUGCUACAAACUGCUCCCUGCGGCCCAUGGAAAGCCGUGUCCUCAGAAGAUGCCUUGCUCCUCAUGCUGGUGGCCUUGCUCAUAUCAGGUGUCUGAAGGAGGCAGGUUCUGAGCAUCUGUGUCCUGAUGGCUGCUGGAGCUUCUACUCCAGGUUCAAGGGCAGGAGAGCCCAACACUUCACAUCUUUCUUUGGAG